rnacentral:misc_RNA from 1 species
GGAAGCUUCAGUGUAGGGUAAAGCUCGCGUAAUAUCUUAACUAUCUCAGAGUAGUGUGCAACUGACUCCACCAUUAAAUAUCUACCAUUAGCUGAAGGGUUUUCAAAUGCCAGAAUAUGUGCAAGGGCGACAUCUUUCACGUUAACCCAACCAAAUGUAGAAUUUGGGUAUGUUUCAGAACCAUUUAGCAGUUGUAAGAUAGCAGCAGCACUUGUAUUAAGCGUUGGUUGCAACAAACCGCCUAUAACCAUUGCUGGGUUUAUUGUAACCAUAUCGAAAGCUUUCU